GUGAGCAUAGCUCAGUGGUAGAGCCCCGGAUUGUGGUUCCGGUUGUCGUGGGUUCGAUCCCCACUGCUCACC
rnacentral:tRNA from 1 species